rnacentral:rRNA from 1 species
CCUACGGGAGGCAGCAGUGGGGAAUAUUGCACAAUGGGGGAAACCCUGAUGCAGCGACGCCGCGUGAGUGAAGAAGUAUUUCGGUAUGUAAAGCUCUAUCAGCAGGGAAGAAGAAAGACGGUACCUGACUAAGAAGCCCCGGCUAACUACGUGCCAGCAGCCGCGGUAAUCCGUAGGGGGCAAGCGUUAUCCGGAUUUACUGGGUGUAAAGGGAGCGUAGACGGCUGUGCAAGUCUGAAGUGAAAGCCCAGGGCUCAACCCUGGGACUGCUUUGGAAACUGUGGAGCUAGAGUGCUGGAGAGGUAAGUGGAAUUCCUAGUGUAGCGGUGAAAUGCGUAGAUAUUAGGAGGAACACCAGUGGCGAAGGCGGCUUACUGGACAGUAACUGACGUUGAGGCUCGAAAGCGUGGGGAGCAAACAGGAUUAGAUACCCGGGUAGUC